GGCAACCCUUAACCAUGAUGUUGUUAAUUGUUACCAUGACCUCAGCAUGCGCUUAGGACUGGCAUUACGUCACGAGGAGUAUCGUUGCCAGUUCUUGUCUUCAGAAGCUAAGAUAAUGUUAACUGCUCAUGAUGAGGCAUCCCAGUUACCUGAAGAUGGCCAGGUUUCACCUUUCCAACUCAUUUUAGAGCGUAGUCUCCUUGCUCAACACCUUGCACAAGUUCAUGAAGAGUUGUGUAGAUCAGGUAUCGUUCAAGUUAGACUCAAUAAGUGGAUUGAGGUCAGCUUUUGUUUGCCCCAAAAAGUACACCGCAGUUUAGCCACAGGCCACCCUGUCAAUUAUGAGGGGUUACUCAAAGGCUUACAGUCACUGAAACCAUAUCACACACUACUAUUACUGGUUGAACGUUCUGAGCUGUUGCAUUCUUUAUCUGCUGAUGCAUCGCCAGCUCUACGCCGUUUACUGUAUGUGGAAUCACCUCUGUGUCCUUUCUACACUCUAGCAGCUGAUGCUGACCUCACACUUCCACAGGUUUUUAUGCUUGCUGGUCACCUGGUUUAUUGGGGUAAAGCUACAGUUAUAUAUCCAUUGUGCAAUACUAAUGUGUAUGUUUUGGCACCAAAUGCUCCUACAGCUAUAAACAGCCCAUUAACAGAACGAUUCAGUGAACAGUUCCCAGGGUCAUCACUUCAUAGAGCUUUGGCAGAAUUCUCUUUACCAAGUUCAUUGAGUGACAAGUGCCAUCCAAUGAACUUUGCUCAGCACCAGCAAGAACAAGUGCAGCAAGUUUUGUGGCUCUUAAGACACGGUCUGCUCCAGCAACUUCAUACUUAUGUUUACUUGGCUCCACCAAUCACCCCGGAUGGAGGAGUAACCAGAUCAAGUGGACGAGAUAUUGGUGGAACAGGACAGUUAGGUAGUCAUGGAACAAGCUCUCCUGCAAGCACAAGUAUUCCUACGCCAACAGUCCAUGAACCUCCACCACUUACCCAUGAUCCACCUUCACUUACCCCACACCCACACAUACAUCAUCAUAACGAUACAACUCGUGAUGCUCUUCACCAUGCUGUAGCCCAGUUGAGUCAGCCAGCAUCGGAGAGUGACCUUGGUUCAGUCUGCAGUGAUGAACGAAGUCCUAGCCCAGGUGUAAGUAUAAGCACCAUCCCAGAUGAUUCCGUUCGCCGUCAGUUAGACACCUUCCUUUCUGUAGCAGAGAAGGAGAUGGUCAUGAAAGUGGAGGCAGCCCAAAAUCCAGAAGAUCUUAAACUUUUUUCAAAGUUGUGCAUGUUUUUCCGUGGCAAACACCAUCUAGAGGAAAUGAUGUACAGAGCCAAUCUUCGAAGAUCUCAACUUUUACAAAUAAUUGACAAAUUUCGUCAGGUUCUUUAUACUUGCCAGCAUCCUGAUGAAUCACUAAACCUCACAGAUCAGACCAUAUGACCUUGGAUGAUAUGAAAAGGUUCUAGAGGUAUUGCCAGCAGUCAUGAUAAAAUAUAUACCAGUACCAGUUACAAAGAGCAGCACAAUAAGAUUUAUGUACUUCAGUAAAGUACGUACUGACAUCCAUAAGAGGAUAGUACAAAGACAAAUAAAAAUGAAGACACAUCACUUAAAUCAGAAGAGGAGAGGAAGGUUCGUUUACCUGGCAAAAUCAUCUAUCGCUUCGUCAACAACUAUCGUAACAUGAUUGUGCCAACCCCUGCAACUGCUCCUCACUCUGCAGAUCUUAGAUUUGCUACAUUUAAGUACAUCACUUUGUUUUCUUUCCAUUCUGCAGUGUAUUCUUUCAGUUCUAUAUAAACUGAAGGUAUCCUUAUUAUAUUGUAUAAUAUUUAUAUGCAGUAUAUAACUGCAGUAUUCUUUCAAGAAAUGCUCGAUUUCAGUUGAACAGUAUAUGGAACUAUUGAAAAAAAAAUCAGUGUAACUUUCUGUAUUUUUUAUUCUUUGUUGCCGAGAUAUCACGAUCAACUUUAAAAGGGAAAAAAGAAGGGGUGAACCCUGCAUUGAUGAAGAAUGACUAUUUUCAGAGGCUGGACACUAGUCAGGGGGAGCAGGUAACAUUAUUAUACAGAUGGUUCACUUUUGGAAGAUGGAAGAGCAGGAAGCGGGGUAACUGUGUAUCAGAAUGGAGAUGAGGUGUACAUACUCUCUGUCAUUGCGAUCAUCACCUCGUAGGGGGUUAGUGCUCUCAGUGCACCUCAUGCGGUUCACUGUAGACAUUACUAAAGGUUCUUUGCAGUAUGCCUUUGGCCCCUAGCUGCAACCCCUGUUUGUUCCUUUUACUGCUCCCCCUUUCAUAUUCUCUUUCUUCCUUCUUACUCUCCACUCCUCUCUCUCAGUGCCAUUUUGCUAGGUGAGACGUUCCCCCCGCAGUUUGAUUAAUCAACAGAUAUCACGGGUUUAACAUACGUCUGGAAAUUGAAAAAUAUCUAGAAGUGUUUGUGAACUGUCAGUGAUAAGAUUAGUGUGAAAAUAGUAGGAUAAAGCGUCUACUAAGUUAGUUUAUCAAGUGAAAUACUGUAAAUCAGAUCAAGAUGGCAGUAAGUUCCAACUGUGGAAAAAAAUGGCGAAAUUUAGCAUGUUUAGCAGAUUUGCAAUACGAUGAGGUAGCAGGAAGGGAGCUGGCAUUUCUCAUCUAUGAGGUCAACAACAGCCCUAACCAAAAAGAUACAAAAGCAUUCAUAGACAUAUUAGAAGGAUAUGAUCCUUCAAACCGAAACAAAUCAACAGAAAACAUCUUGAAAAUAAUUGAAGAAGUUCCAAAUAAAAUCCAAGUGGUCAAGAGACUCAUAAAGAAAAUUUACAUCAGUCAACAUAUUCCGACAAAGAAAAUGAAUAAGGUGAACAUUGUGAAUAUCCUAAUUGAUGCAAUAGUUAAUCCACAAAACCUGAUCAGAAAAGGUUCUGCAUGCAACAUUCCAACGCAUCCUCAAUGUGCUGAAGUAAUGCAAGAUAUGAGUAAGGAUACCAGAAUAGUUUGCUCAACAUGUCUAUCAUGGAUAGACAAUGUUAUUAAAUCAAGACUUUAUGUACAAAUAGUUGAGGAUGAAGAAGAAGAGGAAGAGGAAGAAGAAGAAGAGGAAAACGGAAGAGAAGUAAAUAAAACUGAAAUGACAGAAAAAAAUAAGGAAAACAAAGAACAAGAUAAAAGUAUGGAUGCAGAGAUACUCAUUGAUACUACAUAUGAGGCAAUCAAGCAGCAUACAUACGAAGAAAUAAAUCACGACAUGACAACACAAAAGAAAAUCCCAAAGAGGCUCUACCCAGAUCUGCACACUGAUGGGAAAGAGGAAAAAAUAGACAAGAAAGACAAAGUCUGCAACCUUUUGAAAAGAGGCAAUUGCAGAUUCGGAGAAAGAUGUUACUACAAACAUCCCAAGGUAUGUCACAACUAUGAAAUUUAUGGUAAGUGUGCAUACCUAGACGGCUAUGAGGAUGACUGCAGAGAUCUACAUCCAAAAAUAUGCAAAAACCUAAAAGAAGGAAAAGGAUGUAAGUUCGACAAAAAAUGUAAAUAUAUGCACCCUGUAGCCAUGAAUCAAAAUCAAUUAAAUAAUCAAUCAAAUAAUAAAAUCCAAAAUAAGAAAGAAAGAAAUAAAGAGAGGAACAAAGAAUAUGAGGUGCAGGACAAAAGCAAGCCAUCACCGCGAUAUGGAGUGUCAGCAAAGAAUUUCCAAGCAUCAGCUCCAAGAUACAGCUCAAGAGGUAAAUACUGUAUUUACGAUGCAAGAGGAUACUGCAGGUACGGAGAAAAUUGCAGAUUCAGACACAAAAUGAAUAAUUGUGAUGAAGGAAGAUCAAAUAUUAUGGAAAAGUUGGAUUUUUUAAUGACAGAAUUUCUGGAAAUGAAGAAAAGAACAACAUACCAGAACAGGAAAGAGACAUGGGAAAAUCCUUAUUAUUACCCAUAUUAAAUGAAGGAGAAAACAUGCAAACCAUCAUAGUGAUGAAUGCGCAGGGCUUAGUUACGAGUAACUCAAAAAGAAAAAUAGAGUACUUAGAAGAACUAACCCAAAUUGAAAAGAAAAUAGAUAUAAUGAAUAAAAGUGAAACCUGGUAUUCCCAAGAGACUGGGAAUGACUAUCAAAUAAAAGGGUUCCAAACUUAUAGAUCAGAUAGAAAAAAAUAGGAAUCAAGGGGGAACUGCGAUAUAUGGGAAAGACAAAAAACAAGGAAAAAUAUAUGAGAAAUGUAGUAACUCAGAUUGUGAACUAAUAGUGGUAGAAUUUGAAUCUGAAAAAUUAAUGAACAUAGUAAUAUAUAGACCCCCCUAAUACUAAAGAGUUUGACACAAUAAUAGAAAAAUUGGAUGAUAUAUGUAGAAAUCACAAGGACUGGACUAUUCUCCUAUCCGGAGACUUUAACUUUCCUUUCGUAGGCUGGAAAGAACGAACAGGAGAUUGUGGUCGUAUUUAUACAUAUAAAAAAAGAGAGUAAUAGUAGUGCAGAAGAUAAGAGGCAAUUGAAAAGCUAUUAGAUAUGCUACUAGAACACAACAUUCAACAAAUAAAUCACCUGCCAACAAGAAAGGAAAUUACUUUAGACCUAGUAUUUGUGAACGAGGUGAAUUAUAAUAGUUUAUAAUGCGAGUAUUUCAGACCAUAAUGUCAGAAUUAACAGUCCAUUCCAAAGCAAGUGAAAACAGAGAUAAGCAAGAAAUGAAAAAGUGGGAAGGAUAUGGAAAAUACAACUUCUACAGUAAAAAUAUAAAAUGGUCAGAAAUAAAUGAAGAAUUAAACAAGAUUGGGAUAACAUUUUUAUAAGUGAUGAUAUAAAGGAAAUACGGAGAUAUUAUAUAAAAUAUUAGAGAAAAUAAUGGAUAAAUAUAUACCGAAGAAGAAAAGUAAACAUCAGUCAUGCGUACCAAGAGACAGAAGGAUCUUGUUCCAGAAAAUAAGAAAGUGGAAAAAAGGUCUUGCAAAAGAAAAAAAUGCAUGGAAAGUGAUAGAACUAAAAAGUAAGAUAGAAAAUGCAGAAAAAAAGAUUAUACAAUCAAAAGAAAAUGAAAAACGGGACUUGGAAGAAAAUACCCUGUUAAAUAUCAAGCAAAACCCCAAACUAUUAUACUCGUAUGCAAAAAAGAUUAAUAAAAGAAGAAUAGAAAUAGGCCCUCUAAGAAUUGAAGGGAGAUUAACGAAUGAAAAAAAGGAAAUAUGCAACAUAUUGGCAGAACGAUAUAAGAGAGAAUUCACCCCUAGAAUUGAUAAUGAAGAUAAUGAUAUAGAAGUAAGGGAUGAAAAUAGUAAAUAUUUAGCAGACAUAGAUAUUAAGGAAGCUGAUAUUGUGCAGGCUAUUAAUGAAAUUAAAAAUGGAGCUGCAGCAGGGCCUGAUGGUGUCCCUGCUAUUUUGUUAAAGAAAGUAGUUCAUUCUAUUGCAAAGCCACUUGCAAUAUUAUUAAGACAAAGUGUAGAUACAGGCAAGAUUUAUAAUGAGCACAAAUUAGCAUAUAUUACCCCUACUUUCAAAAGUGCAUCAAGACUAGAGGCAAGUAAUUAUAGGCCUGUGAGUCUAACAUCACAUAUCAUGAAAGUGUAUGAAAGGGUAAUGAAGAAAAAUAUGAAACAUUUAAUAAAAAAUCAUUUGUUUAAUAUAGGACAACACGGUUUCAUACCCGGAAAAAGUACACAAACCCAACUGUUAGUCCACCGUGAGAACAUAUACAAAAAUAUGAAAAGCGGAAAUGAAACAGAUGUGGUUUACCUAGACUUUGCAAAAGCUUUUGACAAGGUAGAUCAUAAUAUAUUAGCGAAGAAAAUUAGAAAGCAUAAUAUAGUGGAUAAAGUAGGAUGAUGGUUAAAAGAAUUCUUACACAACAGAAAACAGAUAGUUAUUGCAAACGAUGAGAAAUCGGAUGAAGAUAAGGUAAUGUCUGGUGUGCCACAAGGUACGGUGUUAGCUGCAUUACUGUUUAUUGUGAUUGCAGACAUAGACAGUAAUGUUAAGGACUCGGUAGUGAGUAGUUUCGCCGAUGACACAAGAAUAAGUAGAGAAAUUACUUGUGAUGAAGAUAGGAAAGCGCUACAAAGAGACCUUAACAAAGUAUAUGAUUGGGCAGAGGCAAAUAGGAUGGUAUUUAACUCUGAUAAAUUUGAAUCAAUAAAUUAUGGAGCAGAGAAGGAAAGCUAUACGCAUAUAGGGGACCUAAUAAUGAGACAAUCACAAAUAAGGAAGCAGUUAAAGACCUUGGUGUGAUGAUGAAUAGGAACAUGUUAUGCAAUGAUCAAAUAGCAAUUCUAUUGGCAAAAUGUAAAGCAAAAAUGGGAAUGUUGUUACGGCACUUCAAAACAAGAAAAGCUGAACACAUGAUUAUGCUUUAUAAAACAUAUGUUCGUAGUCCACUUGAAUAUUGCAGUAUGAUAUGGUGCCCAUACUAUCAAAAGGAUAUUGCACAGAUAGAGAGUGUACAAAGGUCCUUUACAGCUAGAAUAGAAGAAGUUAAGGAUCUUGACUACUGGGAAAGACUACAAUCCUUAAAAUUAUAUAGUCUAGAAAGGAGAAGAGAACGCUACACGAUAAUUCAGGCAUGGAAACAGAUAGAAGAAACAGCCGAAAACAUCAUGGAGCUAAAAAUAUCAGAAAGAGCAAGCAGAGGUAGAUUAAUAGUGCCCAAAACUAUACCAGGAAAAAUAAGGAAAGCACACAGGACAUUUAUCCACUACGCACCAGCAUCGAUAAUGCAGAGUAUAUUCAAUGCGUUGCCAGCUCAUCUGAGGAACACAUGUGGAGUGAGCGUUGAUGUGUAUAAGAAUAAGCUCAACAAAUAUCUAAGCUGCAUCCUAGACCAUCCAAGAUUGGAAGAUGCAAAAUAUACCGGAAGAUGUACUAGCAACUCUCUGGUAGACAUUAGAGGUGCCUCACACUGAGGGACCUGGGGCAACCCGAACAAGAUGUAAGGUCUGUAAGGACUCUCUUCUAACAAUUGAUUCAUAGUGCAACUUCGAGGUUUUCUUCCUGUUACGCCUUUCAAAGUUUUUACUGUCAAUUUCUGUUUCAGUGUUUAAUGACCUCGUAGGUCCUAGUACUUGGGCUUUGGCCUAAAUUCUAUAUUCAGUUUAAUUACGAUUGUCUGAUGGAUGCUCCAUAUUACGGUCAGAACUUCUAGGUAUUACAGCUGCACUGAGUGUCAUAAAAAGGAGUAAGGACAAUGCCAUAAUAGCUACAGAUAGCCUGAGUGCCCUGCAACCACUAAUACCAAGAAAAAUGUAAUCAAAUAUCAUAGUGAGAAGAACUUUAGCCCUGCUAUCACAGAUCAGACGAGCAGACAGAAUGGUCGCAUUUAGUCGGGUGCCUUCACACAUUGGAGUCAUAGGCAAUGAGAGAGCUGAUGAGCUUGCUAAAGAAGGUGCAAGGAAGGAGAGAGUAGACUAUAAAUUGGCACCAUCCCUGAAUAUGGUGAAGGAAUCAGUUGGAAUGGAAACAAUACAAAGACAAUGAGAGAAUAGGGAGGCCCAAAGAAACAUUCAUCAAUAAGAAAAUACCUUUAAAUUACUGAAGGAAAACCAAAUGACUACAAACUUUGCAGACUGGAGAGCAGUAGAAACUACACAACGUGUAGCAAACUAAAGAUGCAGAUACGAUACCUUUGGGAGGUACUGCCAGUUGUCAGUGUAAAGAGAAUACGCAUUACAGACCAUAGGGAGACAGACUGAGUGAAGUUGACCUCCUCAAGCAUUUUCUACAACCUAGUGUGCUGAAAAGGUGUUUGACUACUCAUCUAAUAGAUAUGUAUAUACGUACUAUGUUGUGCACAAGCUAAAUUGUAGUACAUUAUUAUUCUGCAGCUACCUGUUAGCAUCAUUAAAAUUGUUUCUAAUUUUUUUCUGUAUAACGUUGUUAUACAAUUUUUAUAUGUUGAUCUCAGCUAAAUGUAAUUCUUUCAGUUAAAUAAUUAUUUGCAUAUUGUGCAUUAACUAAAUUGUAUUACAUCUUGUUCUGCAGGUACCUGUUAGCACCAUUCAAACUGUUGUAUUUCUACAUUUUUAUAUAACUUUUACAUAAAUUUUUGUGUUGACCUCAUCUAAAUGUUACACAUUCUGCCAGGUAAUUAUUUGAAGUUUUACCAUAAUAUAAAGUAACAACUUGCACAUUAAUUACUCUGAGUAUACCACAUGCUACUCCGUAGCAAUUGUGUUCCUCGACAGAAGCCUGAUAAAAUAUAUAUCUUUUACAGCAGCAAUUAAAAUUAUUUUCUUAAAAUCCAGUAUAUUCAAAAGUUGCAUACUUUCUAAUAUUUACGACAAAUUUUGCAGUGCAAUCUUUUAAUGACUAAUUCCCACUUACCACAUUGUAAUUCCCUGAGAGGUAAAGUUGUCUGUAAGCAUUUAUAUUUUGUAAUACUAUAUUUUGUAAUAAUUCAUCAGCCCUGAUGAAUGACGUUUGUUCAUAGUAAUCAAGAGGUUUUUUCCCAAUACCAUACCAAGUCUGGGUUGCAUGUUGUGCUGUACUUUGUAGGUUUUUUGCAUAAUAAAUUGUUUCUCUUCUUUGUCGCAUCUUGCUUCACUUAAAUCAUUGGCAUCUCAAUUCCACUGCAUAUAUGUGUGUAUAUAUUGUGACAAAGUGCCAAGUAUCUGGUUACUACACUUACCAUUCAUUAAUUGUUACCUCACAACAGCCAGACACCUGAACCUUCAUCACAGGUACUAAACGACUGAAUACUCUAAAGGCAACAGUGAUCCCUUAAACAACUUACUACUUACCAGUACUACAAAAAAUCAGACCUAGUUCAUCAAAACAGGUGUGAGGUAAUCUCAGGUAAAUAAAUUAAUUAAAGGGCAUCACUCCAUCAACAACUUUAAAAGUCUAAGUAUUUCCCUGAUUUCAGAAGUCUAAGUACUUCCCUGGUUCUAACUCACUUCAAGUAAAUUGAAGGAAAACAGUUCAAUUACCACUUUAUGUUUCUACCUAAAUUUGAUUAUAAUUAUAUUGGUAAAAAAGGAAACACUUUAUAAAAAUUUUAAAUACAAAAAUUUAUUAUCAAGCUCAAAAUUUAUAAGUGAAAUUCACAAUAUCAGGGAAAUUACUGUUACUUGAAAACAAAUCAAAGUUUAAUUAAUUUUGAAUUAAAUUAAGUAAAAUUAAAUCAAAAUUAAUUUAUCACAAAAUCAAGAAAAUUUAUUAAUUCGAAAUUCAGAAGUGUUAGGCAAUUAUUAAAAUUUGGAAAUUAAUCCACAAGUGCUAAACAACAAUGAAACUUGAAAGGAAUUUUAAGUAAAUGGAAAUUAAUUCACAAGUAUUAAAUUCAAUUAAAUGUGCAACGAUUAAUUAAUGAAAAUAAUUAAGUCAAUCAAAUUGUGAAUGUAAAUGAAAACACAGAAAAAUGUGGAAAAUAUCAAAAUUGUAAAAAGUAUUAAUCACACAGAAUAUAAAAUAAAAACACACACUUCAAUAAGCAAAUGGAUAAAUGCACAAUAAUCACUUCAAUAAGAAAAAUGAAUAAAUGCACAAAAGAAAAAAUAACUUCAAAUGAAACAAAAACAAAACACAAAAAUUUGCAAUGUGUAAAAAUUUAAACCUGUUUCAUGAAACACUGUAACUAUUAGUUGCAACUAAUAAAAAUAUAACACACAUUACCUUGGUACCAAUUUUCUUUCUGUUGCAGCUAGUUCAAAAAAUUCACCAAUUCACAAUAUUUCACAAAAGAUAAGGCACCGUUACACACUUGUACAAUGUUUGUUCAGAUUCCACAAAAAGCACUAAAUAAUACUAAAUAACUCUUAGAAAUCCAAAAUCUAAAAGUUACGAGUGACCAAUUACGUUAAUAUGAAAUCAAAAGUGACAUGCGAGAGAAAGAGGGGAGAUCAA